rnacentral:lncRNA from 1 species
GGAACAGGAGCGCUGGCCCUACGGUCCGGCGCCGCGACGGGCGGGCGAUUUCCUUGUCACUCGUUGUCCGCCGAGUGCGUGACCGUGGGUCCACCGGCCCCCCGGUGACUCAGCCCCACACCUGCACCUGCACCUACACCUGCACCCUGAACUGGGAGGGUCCGUACCCGCCCGGUGUCGAUGCACUUCUCUGUGUGCUCUCUGAGCGUCCGCGUGCCCUGCCUGAAAUCGGGAUAAAGAAUGUGCCUGCGUCAGUGUAAGGGCUGGAGGAAAUAACCAGCACAGCGCCUGGCCUGGAGGUCCCCGGUACAUAGUUGUAUAUUCUUCGUUGUGGGUCCUUCUAGUUGUGGCAUGUGGGACGCUGCCUCAGCGUGGUUUGAUGAGCAGUGCCAUGUCUGCGCCCAGGACUCGAACCAACAAAACACUGGGCCGCCUGCAGCGGAGUGUGAACUUGACCACUG